rnacentral:lncRNA from 1 species
UGAAGAGCAAAAUUCAGAAAACUUGGUGAAACCACUCUGUUGUCCAAACUUCAUAAUGACCUUACUGACAAGUUGGAUAUCAGUCCUAACAGCAUUUCUUCUUCUUUUACAUUUUUGGAGAGCAAAGACAUAUGCUUCUGGAAAUCCAGAAGAGGAAAUAGAUUACACAUAUGUUAUUAUAGGAACUACUCUGGGAGCACUUCUGUCAAUUGUUUUUGUAGCAUUAAUCAUCUGCAUGAUCAAAACCCAAAUGUUGGACCAUGUCUCUGGAGAGUCAGAUGGCAAAAUGGAUAGAAGGUCAAACAUGGGAUCAAGCCAAAACAGAGAUGACAUCCAUGUACUGGAAAACCUAAGUACAAAAGAUCAAUAACCCUUUUGCAAUCAACAGUUACCUGGUCUGAGGAUCAAUAGAAGUCUCUUGUGCACAGGCAGAAAUCUUACCAAUACCAAUUCCUUUCUUUGUUCUUUAGUUGAAAGGUUGAUUGAUUGAUUACAGGAAGAGCUUAUAGUGCAUGCUAACUUCAGUCACUUGCACCCAAAAAGCCUGCAAUGCCCAGCAGCAUGUAUAUGAACAAAAUGUAUGAAGAAAACAAAAUAGAUGAGUUCUGUUCAUUAAUAGAUCCUAUUUAGUCUGUGAUAAGUAUAUGAUUGAUUUCUAAAAUCAGUUAAAUACAAGGUAAUAAAAAAGGUAGCAAUAUAAUUCA